rnacentral:rRNA from 1 species
CUUAAGCAUAUCAAUAAGCGGAGGAAAAGAAACCAACAGGGAUUGCCCUAGUAACGGCGAGUGAAGCGGCAACAGCUCAAAUUUGAAAUCUGGCGCAAGCCCGAGUUGUAAUUUGUAGAGGAUGCUUCUGGGUAGCGGCCGGUCUAAGUUCCUUGGAACAGGACGUCAUAGAGGGUGAGAAUCCCGUAUGUGACUGGCUUGCACCCUCCACGUAGCUCCUUCGACGAGUCGAGUUGUUUGGGAAUGCAGCUCUAAAUGGGAGGUAAAUUUCUUCUAAAGCUAAAUACCGGCCAGAGACCGAUAGCGCACAAGUAGAGUGAUCGAAAGAUGAAAAGCACUUUGGAAAGAGAGUUAAAAAGCACGUGAAAUUGUUGAAAGGGAAGCGCCCGCAACCAGACUUUGCGGCAGUGUUCGGCCGGUCUUCUGACCGGUUUACUCGCUGUCGUGAGGCCAUCAUCGUCUGGGACCGCUGGAUAAGACCUUAGGAAUGUGGCUCCCCUCGGGGAGUGUUAUAGCCUCUGGUGAUGCAGCGCGUCUCGGGCGAGGUCCGCGCUUCGGCAAGGAUGAUGGCGUAAUGGUUGUCGGCGGCCCGUCUUGAAACACGGACCAAGGAGUCUAACAUCUAUGCGAGUGUUCGGGUGUCAAACCCCUACGCGUAAUGAAAGUGAACGGAGGUGGGAACUUUUUGUGCACCAUCGACCGAUCCUGAUGUCCUCGGAUGGAUUUGAGUAAGAGCAUAGCUGUUGGGACCCGAAAGAUGGUGAACUAUGCCUGAAUAGGGUGAAGCCAGAGGAAACUCUGGUGGAGGCUCGCAGCGGUUCUGACGUGCAAAUCGAUCGUCAAAUUUGGGUAUAGGGGCGAAAGACUAAUCGAACCAU